UCCUCAACUGACGCUAAUGCUCGAAAGUGCGGGUAUCGAACAGGAUUAGAUACCCUGGUAGUCCGCACGGUAAACGAUGGAUGCCCGCUGUUGGCGAUAUAUUGUCAGCAGCCAAGCGAAAGCGUUAAGCAUCCCACCUGGGGAGUACGCCGGCAACGGUGAAACUCAAAGGAAUUGACGGGGGCCCGCACAAGCGGAGGAACAUGUGGUUUAAUUCGAUGAUACGCGAGGAACCUUACCCGGGCUUGAACUGCAGCAGAACGAUAGAGAGAUCUUGAGGCCCUUCGGGGCUGCUGUGGAGGUGCUGCAUGGUUGUCGUCAGCUCGUGCCGUGAGGUGUCGGCUUAAGUGCCAUAACGAGCGCAACCCCUUCCGUCAGUUGCCAUCACUUUGGGUGGGCACUCUGGCGGUACUGCCACCGUAAGGUGUGAGGAAGGUGGGGAUGACGUCAAAUCAGCACGGCCCUUACGUCCGGGGCUACACACGUGUUACAAUGGGUGGUACAGAGAGUCGGUCGUAUGCAAAUGCGAUCUAAUCAAUAAAGCCAUCCUCAGUUCGGAUUGGGGUCUGCAACCCGACCCCAUGAAGCUGGAUUCGCUAG
rnacentral:rRNA from 1 species